rnacentral:rRNA from 1 species
UACGGAGGGGGCUAGCGUUGUUCGGAAUUACUGGGCGUAAAGAGCUCGUAGGCGGCUUGUCGCGUCGACUGUGAAAUCCCGAGGCUCAACUUCGGGCUUGCAGUCGAUACGGGCAGGCUAGAGUUCGGUAGGGGAGACUGGAAUUCCUGGUGUAGCGGUGAAAUGCGCAGAUAUCAGGAGGAACACCGAUGGCGAAGGCAGGUCUCUGGGCCGAUACUGACGCUGAGGAGCGAAAGCGUGGGGAGCGAACAGG